rnacentral:rRNA from 1 species
UGCCAGCAGCCGCGGUAAUACUGAAGGUGCAAGCGUUAAUCGGAAUCACUGGGCGUAAAGCGCUCGUAGGUGGCUUUGUAAGUCAGGUGUGAAAGCCCACGGCUCAACCGUGGAAUUGCACUUGAUACUGCAUCGCUAGAGUAUAGGAGAGGGAAGUGGAAUUUCUGGUGUAGGAGUGAAAUCCGUAGAGAUCAGAAGGAACACCCGUGGCGAAGGCGACUUCCUGGACUAUUACUGACACUGAGGAGCGAAAGCGUGGGGAGCAAACAGGAUUAGAAACCCCCGUAGUCC